rnacentral:tRNA from 1 species
GUGUGUGAAUUGGAUAUUGGUUAGCCAAGGUAGAUUGUGACUCUACUGUUCCGAGAGGGACUUGCGGGUUCGAUUCCCGUCAUACACC